UUAUGUUACCUUCUGUACCCCAAAUAUCUAUAUAUUUAGUUUCUCAUAAAGGAUUCAACAGAGAAAAUGACUAAUUGCUCAAAAGUCCACGAAUACGUUCAGGGCUCUGAACUAUCGCACUGAUUCGAUUUAGAAUAAUCGGACCCUUAAUACUGUGACCUUGAAUUGCAAGUCAUUUGGUCUAGCUUUUCUGGAUGGCAACAUUUAGAAAGGAAACCGCAGUAGGCAAAUAAAGGAAACAUUCUCUCUUUCCAGGAAAGAGCUUUCUUUUAUCUCCUGGGCCACCUAUGCCUUCAGAAGCUGACACUCCAGGAGAAAUGUAGCUUUUCAUUAUCUGGCCUUUAAGCCUGCCAGUCAAUUUUAUUUUCCUAAUGUCCAGGACGUUUAUUUUUCUAUCAGUCUUUAAGGAAGAUGAACCCAUUUUUCUCACAGUAUGGAUGAGCAUGUACUUUUAUACUUUCCUUGCAUGAAAACAAUGUUUGGUUUUUUUGUUUCGGGUUUUUGUUUUGAACACAUGUAAGCUCUUUGAGGGGAGGCAUAUUGCCAUUAUUUAAGAAAGAGCUGGGUGUGGUGGGAAGAGCACUGGAUCUGGAGUUAGGACCCCAGUUUUAACUCCGGCUGGCUGUUAUCUGGGAGCUCUGCUCCCACUCACAAAAUGACGUCAUUGGACCAAACAGCCUUUAAGCUCCCAGCUACUCUAACAUUCUGUGUUCUGAGAUUUCCCAUGGCACCUCCCUGAUGCUUACUCAUUGGGUCUGACCAACUUAAGUGAAGAAAAUGACCUAAAGCUGGUGUUCAAACCCAAAGUCCUCAAUUACAUUUUUCACAGAGUACACUCCUCAAGAAAGAAUGACGCCAUUGACCGUGGAUUCCCUUUCAUGGACACCCCCUGCCUGCACUACUAGGAUGGUUUAUCAGUGAUUAUUAAAGUCCGGUCAAAUCCAUUCCACUCUCUUGUUGCUGAUCCCCAAAGCCCGCCAUGAUCGUGCUCAGUUACUGUGUAGGGUCACCAUCAACGUUUAGUCCUCAACGUAUUUUGGAUAAUUAUACGUUUUGCAUUUUAGCAGGAACUGCCUACCAGUGCUAAGGUGUGUGUUUCUUGUUUUCUCACUGGAUUAAAAUCUCCUUGAAAGCAAGAGUAGAGUCUUAAUCCGUAUUUGGAUAAUCUGUGCUUACUAGUCUGUAUUCCCAUAUUAUCUCAUUCAAAUCACCAGUAAGGUACUGAUUAUAUGACUUAGUGGCUAUUUACGUUUCUGUCUUUGUAGGUAAGCUACGAUUUUUUCUAUUGCAAGAGCAACACCACCUGUGUUUUCUCCCUAGUGGUGAGCCCCAGUGCCUGGCACAUGGUAGAUGUUCAAUAAAUGUUGAAAGAAUGAGUGCAGUCAGAUUUGACUUUGCCAGAAAGAGCUGACUUUGUAAGAAGUUGAUAAAUUGAGCUGCUUUAUGAUCAGUCUAAAACGUAGAAGGUGAUUGCCUCUGAAAAUAGGAUGCAUCUUUUCUUUGUUUCUUGGCAUUUUUCCUAUUAGGAGUAGAACUUGAGCAGAUUAAAUAGGACUCAAUCUCGAAUCCACAAAUGACACCAAGCCUGAAAUGAUGCUGAGGUUGGAAGCGAUUUAGUUCACUUGAAUUUUAUUUGGGGGAUAAUGUUUUCCUUCUGGGAAGAGAAAUGCUAAUGAAAAAAUCGCCUCCCGACUACAACGCAGAAGUAAUAGGAAUCUGGCCAGAAAUAUGAUCUUAUGAAAAUUCUCCAAGCAAAGCAUCUUAUACUCAUGUCUGUGCCUUUGGAUUGACAUUCUGAUGUUUGCCUUUCUCUGGUUUCCAGAGCUCAGGGUGGAGAGAGGCGCCAGGGUAACAAGCCAAAUAGGUCUAUUAUGGGAUGUCAUGCUCACUGGGCAUGAGUGCUGUCUCCUAGGACAUUUAUAGCGUUCAUUACUCAGUCCAACUUUAAUAACACAUGGACAAGCCUGGGGCAAUUUGUAAAGGAUCUGAGAGUUUUUUUGUUAUGAAAGUCUAUAUUAUAGAAUUAGCGGGUCUCGGGAUUGGACUCGAUUGGAAAGAUGAUCUCAUCAAAGGACCCAUAGCUCUCUACUGGAGAAGAACUGCUUUCAAUAACCCUGACAUUCUAAAUGGCCAUGGGUAUUGGGGGACCAUUUGUAAGACUAAGUUAACAGAUGGUGACUGUUACGUUGUAAGUUAGGAUAUGGGCAAAAUGGCAAAUGCGGAUUCUACUUUUUCCCUGCAGCCAAGGGAGCUAUGAAGAGGUGGGACAGGGAGUGGCCAGCCAUCCUAACCUUUCUGCUAUAAACCCUAGAGAGGAGAACAUGAGGGGGAUCAGUGAUGUAAGUCAACCAAGAGAGAUUCCGGUGUCUUCUAGAUUAGCGUUUCUGACCUGUUCACCAGCUCACUCGGAAGACUUGAUAAAAUUCAAAUUCAGAUUCAGGAGUUCUGCGGUAGGGUCUGAGAUUCUGUAUUUCUAACAAGGUUCCAGGUGGUGCCAAUGCUGCUGAUACAUGAGCCACAUUUUGAGUAGCAAGAUUCUGGAAUCUACCAUCCGGAUCAGUCUGUUGGAUACUGAGCCCCAUGUUAACCACCUCAAAUAGAGAAGAAAUAGACUCCAAGCAAAUAAGGAUGAAAAGAUUACUGAAUUAUAGGUGAUCAAAAUUAAAAACAAAAUCUGGAAGAUGAUCCAGUUCAUUGGUUUCCAAUUUUUUCAUUGUUUCUUUUUUAAAUUUCUUUUUGAAAAUCAAAGUUAUAUGCGGAAUCUCAAUGUAUGAAAUGGCUCAAAGCUUUGGUGUUUCGAUUAAAUCUGGAACAGAAGCUUGGAGCCAACCCCUCCUCCUAUGACUCUCCUCAAAGACUCCUAGUCUGUAGAACCCUAGGACUCUGAGUGGCACUGUUUGGAAACGACUGACCUUAUUUAUUGAAUGCAUUAGGAAAUAAUAAAAUGGAACCCAUAUCC